UACAGAGGGUGCAAGCGUUAAUCGGAAUUACUGGGCGUAAAGCGCGCGUAGGCGGAUAGAUAAGUUGGAUGUGAAAGCCCCGGGCUCAACCUGGGACGGUCAUUCAAAACUGUUUAUCUAGAGUGUGGCAGAGGGUAGUGGAAUUCCUAGUGUAGCGGUGAAAUGCGUAGAUAUUAGGAGGAACAUCAGUGGCGAAGGCGACUGCCUGGACCAACACUGACGCUGAGGUGCGAAAGCGUGGGUAGCGAACAGG
rnacentral:rRNA from 1 species